AUUGAACGCUGGCGGCAUGCUUUACACAUGCAAGUCGAACGGUAACAGGGUGCUUGCACCGCUGACGAGUGGCGAACGGGUGAGUAAUGCGUCGGAACGUGCCGAGUAGUGGGGGAUAACGCAUCGAAAGGUGUGCUAAUACCGCAUACGUACUGAGGUAGAAAGUGGGGGACCUUCGGGCCUCACGCUAUUCGAGCGGCCGACGUCUGAUUAGCUAGGUGGGGAGGUAAAGGCCCACCAAGGCGACGAUCAGUAGCGGGUCUGAGAGGAUGAUCCGCCACACUGGGACUGAGACACGGCCCAGACUCCUACGGGAGGCAGCAGUGGGGAAUUUUGGACAAUGGGCGCAAGCCUGAUCCAGCCAUGCCGCGUGUCUGAAGAAGGCCUUCGGGUUGUAAAGGACUUUUGUCCGGGAGCAAAUGCCUGGUGUUAAUAGCACUGGGAGCUGAGAGUACCGGAAGAAUAAGCACCGGCUAACUACGUGCCAGCCGCCGCCGUAACAC
rnacentral:rRNA from 1 species